GAAAAAGAAGUCUGUUGAAACUCUGGAUCAUAUAAAACUCAACCCUUCCUCAGAUGGCAACCUGCAAGCCAGCACCUUAGAAGUGGUGUUGGCCCCUGCGAUGGAUCGGCAGCUGAUCUUAGGUGUUUUCCUGUCUACUGGCUCAGCAUUGAUUGAGAUCGACGCACAAUGGAUAAACCCUGAACAUGCAUAAGCAGUCUGCAGGCGGAAUCCCACAUGACAGCCAGCAGAAGGCCGUGACAAAAUCGUUUAUGAGGAAAUAGUUUAUCAUGGCCAUGGUAAACAGUGUCCAUCACACAUGAGAAGAGCAAUGGAUGUAUGACUUUGACGGGGAGAAACUUGGAGUGGAGACAUUUGAGAGCUGAAAUGGAGGCAUGAAGGAUGUUAUUCAAUGUGAUGGGGGGGAAAACAACAUAAUCAUCAUGGUUUCUGUUGUGUCUCAUUUUGUUCAAUGUUGGAUCCAUCCAUGUGUGUGAAUAUUGGUGGAUCUGUCUUGAAA